rnacentral:rRNA from 1 species
UACGGGGGGGGCAAGCGUUGUUCGGAAUUACUGGGCGUAAAGGGCUGGUAGGCGGCCAACUAAGUCGGAUGUGAAAUCCCCAGGCUUAACCUGGGAACUGCAUCCGAUACUGGUCAGCUUGAAUCCGGGAGAGGGAUGCAGAAUUCCAGGUGUAGCGGUGAAAUGCGUAGAUAUCUGGAGGAAUACCGGUGGCGAAGGCGGCAUCCUGGACCGGCAUUGACGCUGAACAGCGAAAGCUAGGGGAGCAAACGGG